rnacentral:rRNA from 1 species
AGUAUUUUGACUAUACAAAGGUAUUGUAAUAAGACUUUAAUUGAGUGCUAAGAGAAUGGACUUUCAAAAAAAUUCUUUUUUAAAUUUAAAAAUUGAAGUUAUUCUUAUAUGUGAAGAAACAAUAAUAUAAAUUAAAGACAAGAAGACCCUAUGAAUUUUUAUAAAUUUGUAUAUAAAUAUUAUAUGAGAAUUUAUUUAAUUGGGGCGAUUAUGAAAUAUAUUUAACUUUUAAUAAAAAAUUAAUAUGAUCCACUAUUAAUGAUUAUGUGAAAUAAAUACUCUAGGGAUAACAGCGUAAUAAUUUUAGAUAGAUCCUAUAGAAAAAAUAGUUUGCGACCUCGAUGUUGGAUUAGGAUUCUUAUUUAAUGAAGAAGUUAAAUUAAGAAGUUUGUUCAACUUUUAAAUUCCU